UAUUAAAUAAUCUUGAAUCAAUGCUCUCAUACCUCCUUUGCCAAAAUUGAUUUGAAAGAGAUCCUCUAUAUCUUUUAAUGUAAUUUUUCCAUCUUUUCAGUAAAUAACUCCUCGCUACACCAUAUUAUUAAAUUAACUACAAUACUUCCUAGCAUGUGAAAUGUCAUCACACCACAUACAUCUUUGUACAUAUCCUUGUUUUGAAACAUUCUUCAAAUUAUUUGUAGAAGUAUUUUCUUGAAGUCUUGGCAAUUUGAUUUAAAGAUCUCACAUUCCACAUAUAAUUUCUUCAAUUUCCAUCUCUCCUUUCUUUGAUAAAGAUGUUGAAGAUUGAACAGUAGGCAUUGUUGGUUGUGUUGUAUGUACUGGAAUUUUAGGUGCUUGUACUACUUUUAGAAUAUUACUCGUAUCCUUCAUCCUUUCUCUUUUUGCAAGCAAACCCAUUGCAUUUUCAACAUUUUUCCACUUUGUUGUCAAUCCUUCAUCUUCUUCUUUGUCUUCAAGAAGCAACUCCAAUUUCUUUUGUAAUUUUCCAUCAGCAGCUUGAAGAAAUAAUUCAACCUUGUUCGGCUCUAAUGUCAAAUUUUCUACCUUCGAUAAUUGAGAAUACUGCCUCUCAAAUUUCUUUAGUAGCUCUGUUGCUUGCAAAUUCUUAUUACGCCGCUCAAUCCAUUUUAGAAAUAGUUUCUUUGUAAUACAAUCAAUGUCCUCCAAGAAAUAUUUGUCUUUUAAUGCAUGUGAAAAAAUCUCCCAUGAAUUUCCAUAAUGCUCUA
rnacentral:lncRNA from 1 species